rnacentral:rRNA from 1 species
UACGUAGGUGGCAAGCGUUAUCCGGAUUUACUGGGUGUGAAGGGCGUGUAGGCGGGAAAGCAAGUCAGAUGUGAAAACCAUGGGCUCAACCUGUGGCCUGCAUUUGAAACUGUUUUUCUUGAGUACUGGAGAGGCAGACGGAAUUCCUAGUGUAGCGGUGAAAUGCGUAGAUAUUAGGAGGAACACCAGUGGCGAAGGCGGUCUGCUGGACAGCAACUGACGCUGAGGCGCGAAAGCGUGGGGAGCAAACAGG